rnacentral:rRNA from 1 species
UCCGUAGGCGGUGCGGCAAGUCGAUAGUGAAAUCCCUGGGCUUAACUCAGGGGCUGCUAACGAAACUGCCGUGCUAGAGUGUGAGAGAGGCGAGUGGAAUUACGGGUGUAGCGGUGAAAUGCGUAGAUAUCCGUAGGAACAUCCGAGGCGAAAGCGGCUCGCUGGAUCACAACUGACGCUGAGGGACGAAAGCUAGGGGGAGCAAACAGGAUUAGAUACCCUGGUAGUCCUAGCCCUAAACCAUCAGGACUUGGGGUUUGCCCUGUACGGGGCAAGUCCCGUAGCUAACGCGUUAAGUCCUGCGCCUGGGGAGUACGGUCGCAAGGCUGAA